UGAGGAAUAUUGGUCAAUGGGCGAGAGCCUGAACCAGCCAAGUAGCGUGCAGGAUGACGGCCUUAUGGGUUGUAAACUGCUUUUAUGUGGGGAUAAAGUGCGUGACGUGUCAUGCAUUGCAGGUACCACAUGAAUAAGGACCGGCUAAUUCCGUGCCAGCAGCCGCGGUAAUACGGAAGGUCCGGGCGUUAUCCGGAUUUAUUGGGUUUAAAGGGAGCGUAGGCUGUCUAUUAAGCGUGUUGUGAAAUAUACCGGCUCAACCGGUGGCUUGCAGCGCGAACUGGUCGACUUGAGUAUGCAGGAAGUAGGCGGAAUUCAUGGUGUAGCGGUGAAAUGCUUAGAUAUCAUGACGAACUCCGAUUGCGCAGGCAGCUUACUGUAGCAUAACUGACGCUGAUGCUCGAAAGUGCGGGUAUCAAACAGG
rnacentral:rRNA from 1 species